rnacentral:lncRNA from 1 species
UUUUUUGGAUAAUUUUGAUUUUUUAUUUGAGGAUAAAGGGUGAGAAGUAAAAGUUUGGGGGGAAAAUAAAAAGUUUUGGAGAAUAAAAGUUUGAGGGAAAGUAAAUAGGGGGAGUAAAAUUUUGGAGGGAAAAUAUUAAAAAAAAAUUGGAGGGGGGAGGGUUUGGGGUAGAUGGGAGGUGGGAUGGGAAGGGAAUAAAAGUUUUAGGGGAAAAGUGGGAGGGAGUAAAAAUUUUGGGAGAAAAUAAAAGGUUUUGAGGGUUUUUGGGAGUAAAAUUUUGAGAAAAAAUAAAUGGGAGAGUAAAAUUUUGGUGGGAAAUGGAUUUUGGGUAGAUUGGGGGUUGGGAGGGGAGGGGAGUAAAAGUUUUGGGGGGAAAGUGCGAAGG